rnacentral:rRNA from 1 species
GAUGAAUGCUGGCGGCGUGCCUAAAACAUGCAAGUCGAGCGGUAAGGCUCUGCACUUAGGGUUUGAUCGAAGUAAUUUAUUACUACAGUAGACCAACCGGAACCUUGGCGGGGGAAGGACGGAAUAGGAAGAUCGAAUGAUAAGCGUAGAGUACACGAGCGGCGGACGGGUGAGUAACACGUGGGAAUCUACCCCAAACU